rnacentral:lncRNA from 1 species
AUGAUAUCCAGCAUCUCCAGAAAUAUAUAUAUGUGAGCUCUUGCUCACGAAGUCAUUACAAGUUUCAUCACAAGUCAAUGUUGUCGACAUUUAUUCAUUCAAAACACAAAUUUCUGAACUACAAAUUGUUUGGUAGCCAAUGAUAAUCAUUUAAAGUUUCCAGUAUUUCCAUAAAAUUCAGAAGAAAAUAUAUGAGUUCUUGCUCAUAAAGUCAUCGCAAACCAACACUUCAUUUUUUACUGAAAAUCCUUUAAUAGAAACUAGCUGAUGUCCUCCUCCAUUGUCACGACCCAAGUCUUAAGUCUGAUUGGGUCAACCUUGUGGUCCGCUGGGCUGGCCUCCUGAACUGCUAGUGUGAAUAUCUGCAAUCAAGCACAAAAGAAGAGACGUGAAUACAACGUUACUCAAUAUGCAUCGUCGAUUGUCCCCUAAAUGGUGAGACGAGACUUUUACAUACUCAAAUCAAGUUUAAAACUGAAUAUAUAACUGGAUCAUAAACAGUAAACUGUGAUAGCAAGUUUAUGAAUAGUCUGAUAUAUGACAUAUAAGAGAAUAUAUACAACUGCAAAGCAAUUAAGCAUGGUAUACUCAAACACUCAACUGUAAAUAAAACAAUUUACUACUCUAGUUCUUGCGCAGCUGGCGCGUACACUAAUAUCUGAGACGAAGCACGGAUACUUCACUCAUGAAGGAUGAUCGAUCCACACACAGUAUCUGGGAGUCAUAGACUCAAAACAUAACUUUGUAUUAAUCUAUUUUGCUCUGGGAGUCAUAGACUCAACAUGUAUUCGACUCUUCAACUCUGAGAUGGACAAUUAAGCAUCAAAAUAUUUAGAUUUGAGUACUCUAGCAUAUACAUGUAAAAUAUGCAAGUCUAGCCUAGUACCAUACCAUAUAAUCUCAACUUAUCUAAUUGAAGCAUAAGAGAAUGCAUAAGAGCUAAAAACAUAGGCAUGUAUAUGAUAAAACACACAAUUUGUAGGAUACCAGCAAUUUCCAUAACCCGAUAAAUACACAGUCUCUAUGUAUACACUCAGUCUCCUUGUAUACAUAGUCACCCCCUUGUAACAUAAAGUAGUCCAUUAACUCUGUUUAAACAUGCUUAUCUUAGGAAAACCACAUCUAGAUAUCAAAGUCUCAACAUACCUGGUAUCCGGGCAAGCUAAAAGUCCACAAGUGCUUGUCCUUGCUCCAUAUAGGUCAAAUGUUCCCAAUCGAUUGAAAUCAAUGAUUCUCAGGAUUAUUUAUAUCUAUUGGAGCCAUCUCUAAAAUCUAGUCUUUGGUUAAAGUCAACUCAAAAAGUUAACUACUGUCAAUGUGGUCAAAAUCUGGAACAAGUUUCAUAACUAGAUUACCCGUAAACUAAGGAGUCCAAAUCGUUCAAAAUCCAAUCUUGAUCUUAGUCAAAUCUCAGAAAGAGUCAUUUGGGGACAAUAGGUUUUAAACCCACCAUAGAGCACUUGAAAUCUCAACUUUUGAUCUUAGAAAUCCAUGGGUAGUCAUAAGUCGAAUAAUGUCUUAGAAAUGCUAUCUUAAAAGUUACUGGCGAUUCCUCUUCAAACAAGGUAAUUAUCCGUAGCUUAAAGCACCCAAAACUUGUCCAUAAAGGUCCAUGUGCGAUCGCGAAGGCUAAAUUUUCUGGCCUUCACGAUCGCGGCAUGGAGGGCGCGACACGCUGAGUAAAUCACUGGGCUGGCCUUACCUGGAUCUUAGCUUGCGAUUGCGAACACAAUGAAGAGACUAGUCACUCAC